rnacentral:rRNA from 1 species
UACGUAGGGUGCAAGCGUUGUCCGGAAUUAUUGGGCGUAAAGAGCUCGUAGGCGGUUUGUCGCGUCUGCUGUGAAAACUCGGGGCUUAACCCUGGGCCUGCAGUGGGUACGGGCAGACUAGAGUGCGGUAGGGGAGACUGGAAUUCCUGGUGUAGCGGUGAAAUGCGCAGAUAUCAGGAGGAACACCGGUGGCGAAGGCGGGGUCUCUGGGCCGUAACUGACGCUGAGGAGCGAAAGCGUGGGGAGCGAACAGG